UACGUAGGCAGCGAGCGUUGUUCGGAGUUACUGGGCGUAAAGCGUGCGUAGGCGGUGUCUUAAGUUUGUUGUGAAAUCUCCCGGCUUAACCGGAAGGGUGCGGCGAAUACUGAGAUGCUGGAGUGCCGGAGAGGUAAGCGGAAUUCCUGGUGUAGCGGUGAAAUGCGUAGAUAUCGGGAGGAACACCAGUAGCGAAGGCGGCUCGCUGGGCCAUUCCUGACGCUGAGACGCGAAAGCUAGGGGAGCGAACAGG
rnacentral:rRNA from 1 species